rnacentral:rRNA from 1 species
CGAGCACGCGCGUGUGGCAUAUCAAUAAGCGGAGGAAAAGAAACUAACAAGGAUUCCCUUAGUAACGGCGAGUGAAGCGGGAAGAGCUCAAAUUUGAAAUCUUCAAGGUUCUACCUUGACGAAUUGUAGUUUAUAGAAGUGUUUUCUGUUAGUGGAGUGGCAAAAGUUCUUUGGAAUAGGACAUCAUAGAGGGUGAGAAUCCCGUAUUUGGUCAUUCCUCCUAGCGUUGUGAUACACUUUCAACGAGUCGGAUUGUUUGGGAAUGCAGUCCAAAAUGGGUGGUAAAUUUCAUCUAAAGCUAAAUAUUGGCGAGAGACCGAUAGCGAACAAGUACCGUGAGGGAAAGAUGAAAAGAACUUUGAAAAGAGAGUUAAACAGUACGUGAAAUUGUCAAAAGGGAAGCGUUUGACACCAGUGUUGUUUUUCCGAAAAUCAAUUACGAAUGUUUUAUUUUUGAGGAGUUAUGACUUCAUCGGCUUGCUCCUUUCUUUAUGAAACUUUCUUAAUGCACUUUUCGGUUAACAAGUCAACAUCAAUUUCUUUUGUUGUAAAAGGGUAUGAGGAAGGUGGCUUUCUUUUCGGAGAAAGUGUUUAUAGCCUUGUGCCUCUGCAAUCGGAGAGAUUGAGGUCUGCAGCGUAGAUCCUUCGGGGUUAGAUACAGUUUGUGCUAAGUUAUAGCUUUUCAUAGACAACUUGUUGAUUAUGAUUAAAUCUUGUAGCUUACUCGCUUAUGCUAUUUUACCUACGCUUAGGAUGUUGAACUCUAUCACACACAG